rnacentral:hammerhead_ribozyme from 1 species
AUCCAACUGACGAGUUUCAGAUAGGACGAAACGUACAUCCUGAAU